rnacentral:snoRNA from 10 species
GAGAUCAUACUUCACAGAAUCAUUUCUGUAGUAUGUAUUUCUUCGCUGUUAGCGAAAAUGCGACGGAGCGCAGCCGCGAUGAUGUGGCAGGGCGUCAUCUCCAGAGCGGGAAGAAGUGUGUCAUCCUCACUCCUACAGUGUGGGUGUCAUACUUGAUGACUGCGUGGAGAACCUUGAAUUAGGUUUUCCGGAAGGAGUUGACGCGUGCUGAGCGGU